rnacentral:rRNA from 1 species
CGGCGAACGGGUGAGUAACACGUGGGUAAUCUGCCCUCGGUUUCGGGAUAGCCCGGGGAAACCCGGAUUAAUACCGAAUGGCCUCUCGAGCUCUCGGGCUCGUGAGAAAAGGUAGCUUCGGCCUCCGACCGAGGAGGAGCCCGCGGCGGAUUAGCUUGUUGGUGAGGUAACGGCCCACCAAGGCGACGAUGGGUAGCUGGUCUGAGAGGACGAUCAGCCACACUGGGACUGAGACACGGCCCAG